rnacentral:rRNA from 1 species
AGUAACCUGCCCACAAGAAGGGGGAGUAAUCCAUGGAAACGUAGGACUAAUACCGCAUAUUGUGUUAAGUUGCAUGACUUGAUUAUGAAAGAUUUAUCGCUUAUGGAUGGACUCGCGUCAGAUUAGAUAGUUGGUGAGGUAACGGCUCACCAAGUCAACGAUCUGUAGCCGAACUGAGAGGUUGAUCGGCCGCAUUGGGACUGAGACACGGCCCAG